UUUUAUGAGAGUUUGAUCCUGGCUCAGGACGAACGCUGGCGGCGUGCCUAAUACAUGCAAGUCGAACGCUUCUUUUUCCACCGGAGCUUGCUCCACCGGAAAAAGAAGAGUGGCGAACGGGUGAGUAACACGUGGGUAACCUGCCCAUCAGAAGGGGAUAACACUUGGAAACAGGUGCUAAUACCGUAUAACAAUCGAAACCGCAUGGUUUUGAUUUGAAAGGCGCUUUCGGGUGUCGCUGAUGGAUGGACCCGCGGUGCAUUAGCUAGUUGGUGAGGUAACGGCUCACCAAGGCCACGAUGCAUAGCCGACCUGAGAGGGUGAUCGGCCACAUUGGGACUGAGACACGGCCCAAACUCCUACGGGAGGCAGCAGUAGGGAAUCUUCGGCAAUGGACGAAAGUCUGACCGAGCAACGCCGCGUGAGUGAAGAAGGUUUUCGGAUCGUAAAACUCUGUUGUUAGAGAAGAACAAGGAUGAGAGUAACUGUUCAUCCCUUGACGGUAUCUAACCAGAAAGCCACGGCUAACUACGUGCCAGCAGCCGCGGUAAUACGUAGGUGGCAAGCGUUGUCCGGAUUUAUUGGGCGUAAAGCGAGCGCAGGCGGUUUCUUAAGUCUGAUGUGAAAGCCCCCGGCUCAACCGGGGAGGGUCAUUGGAAACUGGGAGACUUGAGUGCAGAAGAGGAGAGUGGAAUUCCAUGUGUAGCGGUGAAAUGCGUAGAUAUAUGGAGGAACACCAGUGGCGAAGGCGGCUCUCUGGUCUGUAACUGACGCUGAGGCUCGAAAGCGUGGGGAGCAAACAGGAUUAGAUACCCUGGUAGUCCACGCCGUAAACGAUGAGUGCUAAGUGUUGGAGGGUUUCCGCCCUUCAGUGCUGCAGCUAACGCAUUAAGCACUCCGCCUGGGGAGUACGACCGCAAGGUUGAAACUCAAAGGAAUUGACGGGGGCCCGCACAAGCGGUGGAGCAUGUGGUUUAAUUCGAAGCAACGCGAAGAACCUUACCAGGUCUUGACAUCCUUUGACCACUCUAGAGAUAGAGCUUCCCCUUCGG
rnacentral:rRNA from 1 species